AAGCGUAAUAGCUCACUGGUCGAGUCCUUCUGCGCGGAAGAUGUAACGGGGCUAAGCUGUUAACCGAAGCCGCGGAUGCACUGGUUAUCCAGUGCGUGGUAGGGGAGCGUUCUGUAAGCCUGCGAAGGUGGUUCGAGAGGACUGCUGGAGGUAUCAGAAGUGCGAAUGCUGACAUGAGUAACGUUAAAGCGGGUGAAAAGCCCGCUCGCCGUAAGCCCAAGGUUUCCUGCUCUACGUUCAUCGGAGCAGGGUGAGUCGGCCCCUAAGGCCAGGCUGAGAAGCGUAGUCGAUGGGAAGCAGAUUAAUAUUUCUGCACCAUGUGCAAGUGCGAUGGGGGGACGGAGUGCGAAAGAUCAUCCGGGUGUUGGAUGUCCCGGUUUGUGAGUGUAGAAGGCCGACAGGCAAAUCCGUCGGCGGAUCUUCGAGACAAAGCAUCGAGGUUCUACGGAACCGAAGUGAUCGGAAGUGCUUCCAAGAAAAGCCUCUAAGCACCAGUCUGACGCGGACCGUACCGCAAACCGACACUGGUGGGCGAGCUGAAUAUGCUCAGGCGCUUGAGAGAACUCGGGAGAAGGAACUCGGCAAAUUGACACCGUAACUUCGGGAUAAGGUGUGCCUUUGUAGCGUGAAGAGAGAAACACUCGGAGCGUGAAGAGGCCUCAGAGAAUCGGUGGCUGCAACUGUUUAUUAAAAACACAGCACUCUGCAAAGACGAAAGUCGACGUAUAGGGUGUGAUGCCUGCCCGGUGCUGGAAGAUUAAGUGAUGGGGUGAGAGCUCCUGAUCGAAGUCCCAGUAAACGGCGGCCGUAACUAUAACGGUCCUAAGGUAGCGAAAUUCCUUGUCGGGUAAGUUCCGACCUGCACGAAUGGCAUAAUGAUGGCCACACUGUCUCCUCCCGAGACUCAGUGAAGUUGAAAUGUUUGUGAUGAUGCAAUCUCCCCGCGGCUAGACGGAAAGACCCCAUGAACCUUUACUGUAGCUUUGCAUUGGACUUUGAACCGAUUUGUGUAGGAUAGGCGGGAGGCAGAGAAAGCGCAACGCCAGUUGUGCCGGAGCCGACGUUGAAAUACCGCCCUGAUUUGUUUGAGGUUCUAACCGCGACCCGUGAGCCGGGUUCGGGACCGUGCAUGGCAGGCAGUUUGACUGGGGCGGUCUCCUCCUAAAGGGUAACGGAGGAGUACAAAGGUACGCUAGGUACGGUCGGAAAUCGUGCUGAUAGUGCAAAGGCAAAAGCGUGCUUGACUGCGAGACCGACAAGUCGAGCAGAUGCGAAAGCAGGUCUUAGUGAUCCGGUGGCUCUGAAUGGAAGGGCCAUCGCUCAACGGAUAAAAGGUACUCUGGGGAUAACAGGCUGAUACCGCCCAAGAGUUCAUAUCGACGGCGGUGUUUGGCACCUCGAUGUCGGCUCAUCUCAUCCUGGGGCUGUAGCCGGUCCCAAGGGUAUGGCUGUUCGCCAUUUAAAGAGGUACGUGAGCUGGGUUUAAAACGUCGUGAGACAGUUUGGUCCCUAUCUGCCGUGGGCGCUGGAAGAUUGACGGGGGCUGCUCCUAGUACGAGAGGACCGGAGUGGACGCACCUCUGGUGUACCGGUUGUCACGCCAGUGGCAUCGCCGGGUAGCUAUGUGCGGAAGAGAUAACCGCUGAAAGCAUCUAAGCGGGAAACUUGCCUGAAGAUAAGUCUUCCCGGAGGCUAGACCUCCCUGAAGAGUCGUUCGAGACCAGGACGUUGAUAGGUCGGGUGUGUAAGCGUUGU
rnacentral:rRNA from 1 species